UUAUUCAUAAGAAAAAAAAAUUGUAAUAAAAUAAUUAUUUACAAGAACAAAGUCGUCAUUAAAUGAAUAUUUACGAGAAUAAAGUCGUAAAGUAAAUAAAGUCUUAAAGCUGCUUUUGUGGAUUUAUGAUUUUAUUACAACUUUUUUCUCAUAAAUAAUCAUAUUACGACUUUGUUCUUGUAAUUAUUUUAUUACGGAUUUAUUCUCGUAAGUAAUUACAAAGUCUUGAAUUUUUUCGUAAUGUGGCCCUGGUACACCGUCGUAUGUUUUCAUGUCAACAACACGUUUUUGAAAGAAGUUCUUCUAGAGGAACGACCAAACAAACAGGUCCAAAGUUGUAACGCUAACAGAACAGGAUCUGGAGGAACAUCACCAACAGGUUAGUCACAUGACCAGGUCUAAAAUGGACCUUCAGAGGGGCGGAGUCUCUCAGAGGUUCUGGACUCUGUGAGAGACUGCGUGAGCGAACAGUUCAACAGUUCUAGAAUAAAGUUCCUGGGUGGGUUUCAUCGUCUACAGAAGAUCUAAAGAAAUCACUGUACUAAAGGGGGACGAGGACCAAAACCAGGACUGGAUGGUCCUGAUCUUCAGACAGGACUCUGGAGUGGGAAUCACCUCAUGGACUCAGAUAUCGUCAGUAGAUCAGUGACCAUCAGAUGAUUCUUGGGGCCUUCAUACUUUGACUCAUUCUGAACAGACUCUGGAGCUCCGAGAAGGAGCCGUUUCUCUUCAACUGUAGACCAAUAAAAAUCUGUUUUAUUCCGUG